GCAUGGGCCAAACGUGCAAGAC
rnacentral:miRNA from 8 species